rnacentral:rRNA from 1 species
AUUGAACGCUGGCGGCAGGCCUAACACAUGCAAGUCGAGCGGAGCGGCGGACGGGAGAGUAAUGCCUAGGAAUCUGCCUGGUAGUGGGGGAUAACGUCCGGAAACGGGCGCUAAUACCGCAUACUCUCAGAUGAGCCUAGGUCGGAUGAGCUAGUUGGUGGGGUAAAGGCCUACAAAGGCGACGAUCCGUAACUGGUCUGAGAGGAUGAUCAUUCACACGGUAACUGGGAAAAGGUCCAGACUCCUACGGGAGGCAGCAGUGGGGAAUAGUGGACAAGGGGCGAAAGCCUGAUCCAGCCAUGCCGCGUGUGUGAAGAAGGUCGUCGGAUUGUAAAGUACUUUCAGCGGGGAGGCGUUACCCGCAGAAGAAGCACCGGCUAACUCCGUGCCAGCAGCCGCGGUAAUUC